rnacentral:rRNA from 1 species
UACGUAGGGGGCAAGCGUUGUCCGGAAUCAUUGGGCGUAAAGCGCGUGUAGGCGGCUCGAUAAGUCUGCUGUGAAAAGUCCAGGGCUCAACCCCUGGGGAUGCCGGUGGAUACUGUCGAGCUCGAGUCCGGAAGAGGCGAGUGGAAUUCCUGGUGUAGCGGUGAAAUGCGCAGAUAUCAGGAGGAACACCAAUGGCGAAGGCAGCUCGCUGGGACGUGACUGACGCUGAGACGCGAAAGCGUGGGGAGCAAACAGG